CACGAGCCCUUCGUAAUCUACCCUGUAGAACCGGGCUUUUGUAGACUAGCGACCCUUUCAGAAGCUCGUUUCUACAGGUAUCUUGCGAAAUC
rnacentral:pre_miRNA from 1 species